rnacentral:rRNA from 1 species
CGGUUGAUCCUGCCGGAGGUCACUGCUAUCUUGGGUUCGAUUAAGCCAUGCGAGUCGAGAGGGUUCGGCCCUCGGCGUACUGCUCAGUAACACGUGGAUAACCUGCCCUAGGGAAGGGGAUAACCCCGGGAAACUGGGGAUAAUACCCUAUAGGUUACAGAUGCUGGAAUGCUCUGUAAUCAAAAGUUCCGGCGCCCUAGGAUGGAUCUGCGGCCGAUUAGGUUGUUGUUGGGGUAAUGGCCCAACAAGCCAGUAAUCGGUACGGGUUGUGGGAGCAAGAGCCCGGAGUUGGAUUCUGAGACACGAAUCCAGGCCCUACGGGGCGCAGCAGGCGCGAAAACUUUACAAUGCGGGCAACCGUGAUAAGGGAACCUCGAGUGCCUGUAAAUGCAGGCUGUUCAGAUGCCUAAAACACAUCUGGAGAAAGGGCCGGGCAAGACCGGUGCCAGCCGCCGCGGUAAUACCGGCGGCUCGAGUGGUGGCCACUUUUAUUGGGCUUAAAGCGUUCGUAGCUGGGUUGUUAAGUCUCUUGGGAAAUCUGGCAGC